CACAAGUCAUUAUUUUUACGAAGCAUUUGUUUGUUGAUUCCCUUUGUUGUAGCUUAAGACCUGGCAUGUUGGCUGACCCUACUGUGGUGAAGCCCCAUGCUCAUCCUGUCCGCCUUGUUAAGUUAUCUCGUGUGAUGCCACAUACAUGAGUCGGGUCUCUGUAUCUUAAAACCUAAUUUUAGUUGCAGCAUCAUGAACCCUGUUUUUUAGUUGGUGUCCUUUUUGUUGCUUAAACUACUUACUGCUUACUCUCACUGCUGCUGUUUUGCACCGUUUGGUUUGUGUAGCCUCUGAGGUUGGUUUGCUCGUGUUUGUUUUUAAUUCUUUUUAUAGGCUUAUUAGUUGUUCUUCCACUGAAACCGAGUGCCGUAUUGUUGGGCGGCUCGGCACGCUACACUUGAAGGAAUUUAUAAGAUAUAGACAAUAAACCAACAUCAACAGAGUGUGAAGAAAGAAGUGUUGAGGUCAUGUCAAAGCCGUCUUCAGUAUGUACUGGCGUGCAGAGACGUCUACUGAAAUUGGCACGCUAACCAGCUAGCCUCGCCCGCCCUGCUGAAAGCUGAAAUCCCCUGUAGUUUCAGCGAGGAGAUGCAAGACUCCGGUCUGCUUGUCUCACCUUGGCUGGAGCGUUGACGUUGCCGGUGUGGUAGCCGAUCUGCAGGGAGCCGAGAAUCGCGGCCAGGAUGGAGGUCAGGAGUGUGGCUGUCAGAUGGCUCUGUGACAGUGUCGGGGUCAGUGACAUUUAUUUUUUUCAUCUUGUAACUUCUCUUAAACACUAAGUGGCAAAUAAACAUGAUCAGCCUUUUAGCAAACUUCCUCCAGACACCCUUGGUUUUAAUAAUUUGAAGAAAAACAUGCAAAA